UACGGGGGGGGCAAGCGUUGUUCGGAAUUACUGGGCGUAAAGGGCUCGUAGGCGGCCAACUAAGUCGGAUGUGAAAUCCCCAGGCUUAACCUGGGAACUGCAUCCGAUACUGGAUGGCUUGAAUCCGGGAGAGGGAUGCAGAAUUCCAGGUGUAGCGGUGAAAUGCGUAGAUAUCUGGAGGAGUACCGGUGGCGAAGGCGGCAUCCUGGACCGGCAUUGACGCUGAGGAGCGAAAGCUAGGGGAGCAAACGGG
rnacentral:rRNA from 1 species